rnacentral:rRNA from 1 species
UCAGCUUGUUGGUGAGGUAAUGGCUCACCAAGGCGACGACGGGUAGCCGGCCUGAGAGGGUGACCGGCCACACUGGGACUGAGACACGGCCCAGACUCCUACGGGAGGCAGCAGUGGGGAAUAUUGCACAAUGGGCGCAAGCCUGAUGCAGCGACGCCGCGUGAGGGAUGACGGCCUUCGGGUUGUAAACCUCUUUCAGCUAGGGAAGAAGCGAAAGUGACGGUACCUGCAGAAGAAGCGCCGGCUAACUACGUGCCAGCAGCCGCGGUAAUACGUAGGGCGCAAGCGUUAUCCGGAUUUAUUGGGCGUAAAGAGCUCGUAGGCGGUUUGUCGCGUCUGCCGUGAAAGUCCGAGGCUCAACCUCGGAUCUGCGGUGGGUACGGGCAGACUAGAGUGAUGUAGGGGAGACUGGAAUUCCUGGUGUAGCGGUGAAAUGCGCAGAUAUCAGGAGGAACACCGAUGGCGAAGGCAGGUCUCUGGGCCUUUACUGACGCUGAGGAGCGAAAGCAUGGGGAGCGAACAGGAUUAGAUACCCUGGUAGUCCAUGCCGUAAACGUUGGGCACUAGGUGUGGGGGACAUUCCACGUUUUCCGUCGCCGUAGCUAACGCAUU